UCAUAUGUACAUACCUACAUUGUUAAUGCAUCAUAUCCCAUUAGAACUCUGCAGUUAAGAACACUUAGAAUAAAUUCGUACUGGGAUGGGUGACCUCUCAGGAAGUCCUAGUGUUUUACAUGUGAU
rnacentral:rRNA from 1 species